ACGGCUCAGUAACACGUGGAUAACGUGCCCUUAAGAGGAGGAUAAUCUCGGGAAAUUGAGGAUAAUACUCCAUAGAUCAUGGAAUCUGGAACGAUUCAUGGUUCAAAGUUCCGGCGCUUAAGGAUCGGUCUGCGGCCUAUCAGGUAGUAGUGGGUGUAACGUACCUACUAGCCUAUGACGGGUAUGGGCCUUGAGAGAGGGAGCCCAGAGUUGGAUUCUGAGACACGAAUCCAGGCCCUACGGGGCGCAGCAGUCGCGAAAACUUCACAAUGGGGGCAACCCCGAUGAGGGAAUUCCUAGUGCUAGCACAUUUGUGUUAGCUUUUCUUUAGCUUAGAAAACUAGAGGAAUAAGGGCUGGGUAAGACGGGUGCCAGCAGCCGCGGUAAUAC
rnacentral:rRNA from 1 species